rnacentral:rRNA from 1 species
AUUGAACGCUGGCGGCAGGCCUAACACAUGCAAGUCGAGCGGAGCGGCGGACGGGUGAGUAAUGCCUAGGAAUCUGCCUGGUAGUGGGGGAUCACGUCCGGAAACGGGCGCUAAUACCGCAUACUAUCAGAUGAGCCUAGGUCGGAUUAGCUAGUUGGGGUGGUAAAGGCCGAACAAGGCGACGAUCCGUAACUGGUCUGAGAGGAUGAUCAGUCAGACGGGAACUGAUACACGGUCCAGACGCCUACGUGAGGCAGCAGUGGGGAAUAUGGGACAAUGGGAGAAAGCCGGAUCCAGCCACGCCGUGUGUGUGAAGAAGGUCUUCGGAUUUUAAAGCACUUUAAGUUGGGAGGCGUUACCAACAGAAGAAGCACCGGCUAACUUCGUGCCAGCAGCCGCGGUAAUUC